AGAGUUUGAUCAUGGCUCAGGAUGAACGCUAGCGGCAGGCCUAACACAUGCAAGUCGAGGGGCAUCGGGAUUGAAGCUUGCUUCAAUUGCCGGCGACCGGCGCACGGGUGCGUAACGCGUAUGUAACCUACCUAUAACAGGGGCAUAACACUGAGAAAUUGUACUAACUUCCCAUAAUAUUCGGAGAGGCAUCUCUCCGGUUGAAACUCCGGUGGUUAUAGAUGGACAUGCGUUG
rnacentral:rRNA from 1 species